UCGAGAAUCAUUCACAAUGGGGGAAACCCUGAUGGUGCGACGCCGCGUGGGGGAAUGAAGGUCUUCGGAUUGUAAACCCCUGUCAUGUGGGAGCAAAUUAAAAAGAUAGUACCACAAGAGGAAGAGACGGCUAACUCUGUGCCAGCAGCCGCGGUAAUACAGAGGUCUCAAGCGUUGUUCGGAAUCACUGGGCGUAAAGCGUGCGUAGGCGGUUUCGUAAGUCGUGUGUGAAAGGCGGGGGCUCAACCCCCGGACUGCACAUGAUACUGCGAGACUAGAGUAAUGGGGGGGGAACCGGAAUUCUCGGUGUAGCAGUGAAAUGCGUAGAUAUCGAGAGGAACACUCGUGGCGAAGGCGGGUUCCUGGACAUUAACUGACGCUGAGGCACGAAGGCCAGGGGAGCGAAAGGG
rnacentral:rRNA from 1 species